GUGCCAGCCGCCGCGGUAAUACCGGCAGCCCAAGUGAUGGCCGCUGUUAUUGGGCCUAAAGCGUCCGUAGCUGGCCGCACGAGUCCGUCGGGAAAUCCGCCCGCUCAACGGGCGGCCGUCCGGCGGAACCUGUGUGGCUUGGGACCGGGAGGCCUGAGGGGUACGAUCGGGGUAGGAGUGAAAUCCUGUAAUCCCGCCCGGACCGCCGAUGGGGAAAGCACUUCGAGAAAACGGAUCCGACAGUGAGGGACGAAAGCCAAGGUCUCCAACCGGAUUAGAUACCCUUGUAGUCC
rnacentral:rRNA from 1 species